CAGGCGCACCGCCCGGAGCGGGCUCACCUCCUCGACGUCGUACCC
rnacentral:misc_RNA from 1 species